CCUACGGGUGGCAGCAGUGAGGAAUAUUGGUCAAUGGACGCAAGUCUGAACCAGCCAUGCCGCGUGCAGGAUGACUGCUCUACGAGUUGUAAACUGCUUUUAUACGGGGGUAAACGCAGAUACGCGUACCUGUUUGAAUGUACCGUAUGAAUAAGGAUCGGCUAACUCCGUGCCAGCAGCCGCGGUAAUACGGAGGAUCCAAGCGUUAUCCGGAUUUAUUGGGUUUAAAGGGAGCGUAGGCGGGUGGUUAAGUCAGUUGUGAAAUUCUGCGGCUCAACCUUGAAAUUGCCUUUGAUACUGGCAGUCUAGAGAGCAGUUGAGGUAGGCGGAAUGUGUGGUGUAGCGGUGAAAUGCUUAGAGAUCAUGAAGAACUCCGAUUGCGAAGGCAGCUUACUAAGCUACCUCUGACAUUGAGGCUCGAAAGUGUGGGGAUCAAACAGGAUUAGAUACCCCAGUAGUC
rnacentral:rRNA from 1 species